rnacentral:rRNA from 1 species
UACGGAGGGUCCAAGCGUUAUCCGGAUUUAUUGGGUUUAAAGGGUGCGUAGGCUGUUCAGUAAGUUAGAGGUGAAAUCCCGUGGCUCAACCACGGACCUGCCUCUGAUACUGCGUGGGCUAGAGAUUGGUUGCUGUGGGCGGAAUGUGUGGUGUAGCGGUGAAAUGCUUAGAGAUCACACAGAAUAUCGAUUGCGAAGGCAGCUCACAAAGCCAAGAUUGACGCUGAGGCACGAAAGUGUGGGGAUCAAACAGGA